GCGGGGCGGGGACCCCCGGCGGCCGCCCCUAGCCCGGGCCCGCGUGGCCAGCCCUGCAUCCCCGCCGCCCGCCCCGCCGCGCGGGGGACUCGGGCCCACGGGCGAAUUUCCUGGUGCCCGCGGGAGGCGUGGAAAAGGCAGGAGCGCGGCCGGCGGCGGCCCUCCCGCCGCCACUCCCGCCCGGGGACCCCGGAGCCCGGGGGUGGGGGUGGGGGGGCCGCCCUCGAACCCCAGCCGCGCGCCGUUGGGGCGGCGCGCACCUGCCCAGCCCCGUGUUUGUAAACAAACCGCGCGCCUAAUUAGCUCGGCGGGGGCGCGCGCGAAGGGCGGGGGCGGGGCUUCGGCGCGCGCGCGCGCGCGCGCAGGGGCGGCCCCGCCCGGGGAGGAGCCGCGCUCGGCCGCGCCCCCUCCGUCUACCCUUCUCCGCCUGGGCCCGCCGCCCAGCUCGCGUCCCCCUGGCGCGGGGGUCGAGAGCCCAAUGCCGCUGGCGUGCGAGAAGGCGCCGAACCGCCGGAGCUGGCAGGGAGCAGGGGGUGUUCACGGCUCUGCCCAAAGCCCUGGUCGGUCCGCCAGCCUCAGUUUCCCCAUCUGCGCCGGGAGGAGCAGGAAUGAGCUAAAGGUCCCCAUCCUGAGAUUCCAGGAGUGGGCCACAAAGGUACCGCAGGGCACGAGCGGCCGUGGAGCUGACCUGCUCCUGGGGACGCACAGACUAUCAUAAAAACAAUCAUGGUAAUAGAACGGAGACGGGCUGGCCCGGGAAGUGCUGCGGUUUCUGGUCUCCUGGAAUCCUCGCUCAAGGUGGAGGUGCCCCUGGCAUUACAAGGCCACGGUGACAACCCCUCUUGGCUUUGCCACCUGCAGGAAAGCUAUCUGUGUUGACGUCCUGUGACAUCAUGGCCCUGUCUGUAUUCCCUCCUCCUAUCCCCUGCCUCUGAGGAGGAAUCCCGAGAUGACGAGAUAAGUAUGUUCAGAAUGAUUGAAAAUGUAAAAUAAGUAAUAAAAAAAAAAAGGCUAACAAAAAUUUUGAAAUUUUGAAAAAAAAAAUCUUAGAAGUUCUAGAAAUCAAAAAUACAGGCUAAAAAAUAAAACACAAAAAACAAAAAUACAGGCUACAUGGAAAUUUAAACCUCAGAGGAAGGGAUACAGAGUGGCUUAGACACUGUCGAAGAGAUAAUUAGUUAGAGGAACAAAGAGGUGGAAAAUAUGAAAAUUGGAAAAUUCAUUUAAAAAACAGGAAAGGGGUGUUAUGUCAUCCUUCUAAUAGGAACUCCAGAUAGACAGAAUUAAGAAUUAAAGGGGAGAAGAAAGAUUUGUACAGAUAAUAGAUGAAACUUGAACAAAAUAGAUGGAGGAAAUGAAUCCUUCAAGCCCAAGUAGGAUAAACGAGUCAGUGCACCCCUAAAUGUAUCACAGAGGAACAAAAGCCAUCAGAGAAAAUGAGAUCUGACUGGCAAUCGGCUGAGAUAAAGUCAGCAAAAAUGGCAGAGCAGAGGACUUCAAGGGCCCAUAACUCUGCAGAAACAGCAAAUAAACUGGCAAAAACUGUCAGAAUAUACUUUAUCUGAACUCUGGAAACUAGUCAAAGGUUUACAUAAACUGGAAAAACAAUCAAGGAAGAGGCAGUUUAAUGUCCGCGUUGCAUGAAAUUUCCAUUGAAUAACUAGCUGACCACUGAGCUAAUCAAGCAGACACUUUGCUGGCCACACGCACAACGCAGAAUACUGGAUUUACAAAGUUAGUUCAGAAAAAUCAAGCAACAGCAGCCAUCAGCAGCAAACCCUAGGGAGGGAGGAGAAUCUGACUUCCAGAGCUGCCACGUUAUAAUACUCAAAAUGUCCAAUUUCCAACAACAACAACAACAAAAUGUGAGGCAUGCAAACAAGCAAGAAAGUGUAGCCAGCACACUGGGAAAGAAAUUAAUAGAAACGGUCCCUCGGGAAGCCCAAAUGUUAGAUUUCCUGGAUAA